rnacentral:misc_RNA from 1 species
GAAAUGCGAUAAGUAAUGUGAAUUGCAGAAUUCAGUGAAUCAUCGAAUCUUUGAACGCACAUUGCGCCCGCCAGCACUCUGGCGGGCAUACCUGUUCGAGCGUCAUUUCAACCCUCAGAACCCCUUGCGGGAUCUGGCGUUGGGGAUUGGCAUCCAGCCAGCCCCGAAAUCUAGUGGCGGUCCCUCCGCGACCUCCCCUGUGCAGUAGCGAUACCUCGCAGCGGGACAGCGGUCUGACCACGCCGUAAAACCCCCAACUUCUCAAGGUUGACCUCGAAUCAGGUAGGAAUUCCCGCUGAACUUAAGC